AUUAUAAUAGUUUAAACAAAACAGAGGUUUUGUAAACCUAAAUUGACUUUUCUUAUAAUA
rnacentral:tRNA from 1 species